CACCCGGGCUUCACUGACAACCCGGCAGGGCCUGCUCCUCACGGGUCAGGCCAGUGGCUGGGGGCCCACAUAGCACUGCCAGGGCCCGCUCGCCAUCACCAGACCCGGGGGACACAGGGUCGUCCCAAUCACUUUACCACGAGACAGUAUGGUUUGCUGCCCUCCCUCCCCCUCUCCUCAGAGCCCCGUGAUCCUCACCCAGAAGCCCCCUGGGCAUCCCCUGGACCCCGGAGUGUCCCUGGAGCCCCCAGAACCCAGCUUGGCCGGCAGCCUCACCUGACCCCACAGCGGUCCCAGAACACCAUGUGGCUGCGGAAGCAGGGAGCACUGCUGACCACCAUGUGAGGGUGUCUCACAGGCCUUCCUUGUUCCCUGUGAUUCCAGGAACGGGCACAGGUGCCCACCAGCCCGGGGACCGGGUCACGGCUCCUGCCCAGGUGCUGUGAGCAGGGAAGGUUCUCCUGGGGGUCAGCCCUGGGCGAGAAGGGACACGGGGGUCAGCCCGGGCAGGGAGGGGACACCACGGGUCACGCUGAGGCUCUCCUCUUCCCCCAGCACAGAGGCCUCUCCAAGACUGAACACCAGGCUGGGCCCUGACCUUGCCUGCAGGGGAGGCUGCUCCCUGGACUCUGCUCCCAGGGCGCGGUCCCAUCUCAGGGCACCUGAGUGCCUGGAGAGUCGGUGUCUCUGUCCUGGUGCCUUCCUGAGUCCUGAUCCCCUCCCCCCAGGUGGGGCAUGGCCCGGCCCGCUGUCCUCCACUCCCUGUCCCCACCUGAGAGCUCAUUCUACUUCGUCCAGCGGGAACCUGGCACCAGCCACCUGCUCGGCCCCACUCUGGGCUCCAGGCCUGUCCAGGGUGCCAGCUCCCAUCAGCCUGACGCUAACUCUGUCCACGAGGAGCUCAGAGCCCCGCAGUCCUGUCCUUCUCUGGAACCUGGGCCUACACUGCUCCAUGGACAGAGGAGAUGAGCUGGGGGCAGCAGGGAGGUGGGGGGGCCUUCAGGUCUGAGAGGCUCUGGGAGAUGUUGGGGCCACCCUGGGUCCCCAGGCAGGUGGCCUCAGCCCUCCCCACAGGUUCCCCUCAGCUCCUGCCCAGGCCUCCACUAAGGGCCCGACCUGGUGUUUCCCUGGGUUCCUGGAUUUCACCUUCUCGAUGUCUAGUAGACGCAACCACACCUGUCCCCGCACCUGGGGGACCCCUUACAGCCCCAUGACGAGGUGCAGGAGGAAGGCAGUGCUGGUGAGAUGGGCCCCAGGCGGUACCAUGGAUCCCGGGGAGCAAGAAGGAUCUAGAAGAUUCCAGCUUGAGCUCCCCGGUGUCCCCACAAGGAGCAGGACACCGUGGCCCUGACCUGACGCACCCCUCACUGCCCUCCUUGGGUCUCCACUUGUCUGCUCACUAGAUCUCCCAGCAAUGUUGCUGGAAAGGACACGUGUGGGGCAGAGGAGCACCCAGCCGUGGGAGGUGGGUGCCUGGUGCCACGUCCAUGCGCCCUGCGGGGCCCAGAGGAGCCAGGGGGACACAGGGCCCCUCACACUGACCCCGCCUCCGGGGCUGUGGCACAUUAACGGCAGCACAUGUAGUGCUGGGACAGGGGGGUGAGGAGACACCCCUGGGGACGGCCUGGGGGAUGGGGUCUGCAGACAGUUGGCCCCACACCCCCAAACCCCGGCCUGCACGGUGCCCAGGACAGGCUCUCACCUUGGCCCCGUGGGGGCCGGGCCCGGGCCCGGGCAGCUCCUUCUCCCUGGAAGGAGAGGGAAGCAGAGCCCCGAGGACCGGGCCCCGGCCCCACAGCCCCCACGUCUCGGCCCGGGGGUCUCGGUGGGGGGAGUGCUCCCCCAGGGAGGGCAGGGGCUGCCAGUGCUGAGGUCGGGAGGGGUAGGCGUUCUGGGGUUGAGAGGGUUGGUGUAGAUGGUGGCUGGGUGGGGGCCCCGGCACCCCCUGAGGUGACCGGCCACUGUCCUGGGGGGACCCGCCUGAGAGCUGUCAGCACCACCCGAGUACCCCCGUGACCGUCUGGCUGAGGUCCCCCCGCCUCCCGGGGCCUGACUGCCCAGCGUCCAGCCUGCCUCUCCCGCACCCUGGCCGUGCCCCCUGCUGGCCCUUGACUCCCCCCCCCCCCUGCUGUCACUCUGUCACUUGGGCCCAUUUUCCCUCUUGUCCUGUUGGAGCCCCUGACCAGCCCCACCGUGACCCAUCCAAAGGGUCCCUUGUCACUGGGUGGUGAGAGGGACUCGGGGGCCUGCGAGCUGCCCUGCUGGCCCCACAUGGAGGCUGGUGCCUGCCUCUGCUACCCACCGUCACUCCCUGAACCGGCCUUGACCCUGUGGGCCUUGGGGCCCUGGCCUGGGGGUCAGUGAGGAGCACCCUCUGUCCUCAGCCCUACCGGACCAGCCUCCGACAGAAAGGACAACGCUCUCCCGAGCUCCUCACCCCCUGCAGCCCCCGCUGACCUGACUGGACGCCCCGAUGAAUGCAGCCACGAGGCUCUCCCCCAAACAGGCUGGACGCCACUCCUCUGAGGGCCCUGUGGCCUCCCCCAAGGUCAGCUCCUUCUUGCCCACGUCCCCGCUGUGUCUCCUGGUGUCUCAGCACCAGCCAAGCGCAGACAUGGCUCUCAGAGGCCUCAAGGCCGAGACCCUGACCUGGGGGAUGGGUCAGCCUCCAGAAAGACGUUCCUGCAAACGCAAACCACCUCUGAGAGGGAUGAAGGCGUGUCCAGGGCACUGUGCAGAGAGCCGUGAUGGUCCGUGACUCUGCACAGCGAGAGGUCAGCGUCGUCCCAAGGGCCCCGUGGAGACCCUGCUUGGCGAGCCUGCACCAGAGGGGCCCCGUGGUGGGGACCAAUCAGAUCCAGGAACAUGGGGCUGGAAGCUGAGUGGCUCCUCUCUUCCCGGAGUACCGUGGGCUCCCAGAACCCUCUGAGAUUGGCCCCCCACGACAGGAAGGGCCUGUCUGUCCAAUGGGAGCAGCCCGACAGCCUCACCUGCUUCGACCAGCGACGAUCCACCCCCCGGCCUCCCCUGCACCCGCUGUGUGAUCACUGUCGUGCUUCAUUUGCCCCUGAUGCCUACACACCCUGCCUGAGCCCAUCCUCUUGUCUUCAUUCCUGCCUGGGCCCUACCUGCUCGGCUUAGACUAGGAUCCCUGAGUGGGUCCCACCUAUACUUGGCAGCUAAAACACCCACCUGGACAUCAGGCGCUCCUGUGGACCAUGAUCCCCGUCUGGCCUUCACCUGCUCCUACUGGCCACAAAACCCACUUGGGUCUCAUCUGCAGGACUCUGGCUAUGAUCCCCGCCUGGUACAUAACUGCCUUUGCUGCUGAUCAUUCCCACUGGGCCCUACACCUCAUCCCUGGCUGUGAAGCCUGCCUGGGCCUCACCUGGACCUGGUGACUAUGAUCCCCACCUGGGCUUCACCUGCUACUCUGCCUGUGAUCCCACCUGGACUCUACCGCUGCCGAUCACUACGAUCCCAUCACUUCCUCCUGAUGCCCGGGAAUGUCCCCUGGGUCUCACUUGUUCCAGAUGACUGUGGUCCUUGUCCCGGCUGACCUGGCUCAUCCUUGGCUCUGAUGCCCAGCUAGGCCUCACUUGCUCUUGCAGGUAUUGGUCCUCACCUCUAGUGUGCGCUCCAGCGUCUCUGCGCUCUCUCUGGGCCUCACCUUGAUGGUACUUGGCUAUUAUAUUGGCCUGUUCCGAGGCCAGCAGGGUCUCCAGGUCCUCCUUUAUGGUGCUGCAAAAUGCAUCCAAGUGUGACUCCAGGAAACCCUUCAGAGAACACACGGGUGUCACUGCUCCCUGUUGAGAUCCCCAUCUGUCUGCCCAGAGCGUGGACACAACCCUCUAGCUCCGAGGGGGACAUGCUGGGCUGGCACAUCACACGCAGGCACUCGCUCUCUGUAGCUCGCCCACCUACAGGUCACCUUCCGAGCCCCUGUCCCAGGACACGCUGUCAUGCUGAGACCUCGGAGCACCAGGGGCCCAUGAGUCUCCGGGGAACUCUUGACCUGAUGCCUGGGGUGACGACUCCCAGCCCGAUGCAGCACCGGGAGCCGGUGGCAUAGCCACUGAGCUAGUGCUCCUCCGUGCAUGGUCUCCCUUCAAUGCCACAAGCCCAAGCACCAAAGGGAAAAAGCAAUGAACUGGACUUCAUCAAAAUUAAAAACUGAUGCCUGCAAGAGGGUGAAAAUACAACCCGCCAUGAAUGCAACGAGAUGUGAAUGGCCUGGCGAUGGGUCUGGGGGCAGCUGGAGGGACUCUGUGUUCCCUGCCUGUGAGGAGUGUGCCCAUUUAGGAGCCAGGAGGUCCCAGGAAGCCCUGCUCUGGCCCACACGGGCCAGUGGGAUGUGGGUUCAUCACCUGUCAUUGUCCAUGGGUCUAGGAAGGGCUGGAGAGGUCAUGGCUUGAGUCUCCCCUGCACAGCACAGGGUUCAUGAAUGAGAGGGGGGUGGAGGGUGACUGCGAAAGGGCUGCUGGAGCUGCCUCAGGCUACUCUAUUGAGGUUCGGGGUGUCUGGACCCCAGUCUGGGAGGCCAGCGCCCCCACCUGGCACCCAUAGUCCCCACAAUGUUGGAGGGGAGCAGGGAGCCACUUCUACUCACUUGUGACCUGUCGAUGUGUGAGUUGCACCUAUUGUCUAAGCCUGGGAUCUUGGGGAGAGUGGGGAGGGAGUGUGGUAGAGGCAGGUACAGAGAGCACAAGUGCCUCCAAAGGCCUGAGGACACAGAGCACAGAGUGUGCCAGGCAGUGGUAACCAUGGGUCACCACAUAUCCGCCCAUGGUGGGGUCCCGCAUCAUCAGUGCAGUCACUGGGUCACUUUGCCCUUUGCCCUACACAGUGAAGGUCAACGGUCCCAUGAGAGUGUCCUGGCACCACACAGGUGGGAAGGGUCUUGGCACCCUCCCAGCAUCCUUCCCUCCCACCCUCAGGUCCUCCAGGCCUCCUGCCCUCUAGGUAUCCUGGGUGUCACACACGUCCUACAGCUCCUAAGCAUUCACAGCUUGCCUAUUGCACUAAGAACAUUUGAGGGGACCUGGGUGGUUCAGUUGGUUGAGUAUCUGACUCUUGAUUUCGGCUCAGAUCGAGAUCUCAGAUUCUAAAGCUUGAGUCCCAUUUCGGGGGCCCUGGGCUUGGGUGAGAGUCUGCCUGAGAUUCCUCUCUCCCUCUGCCCACCCCCCGCCCCACUGCUUGUGAGCCCUCAUCAAAUAAAAACUUUAACAGAUUUAAAUUUAA